rnacentral:ncRNA from 2 species
AUACAGAAGAGGGGAGAGCAUCAGGGCCCACCAGGCCGCUGAUCACCGAAGGAGCAACCGCCCAGGAAACUCUCAGGUACCCGUACUCUUUUUUGUGA